rnacentral:rRNA from 1 species
GACGAACGCUGGCGGCGUGCCUAAUACAUGCAAGUAGAACGCUGAAGAGAGGAGCUUACUCUUCUUGGAUGAGUUGCGAACGGGUGAGUAACGCGUAGGUAACCUGCCUUGUAGCGGGGGAUAACUAUUGGAAACGAUAGCUAAUACCGCAUAACAAUGGAUGACACAUGUCAUUUAUUUGAAAGGGGCAAUUGCUCCACUACAAGAUGGACCUGCGUUGUAUUAGCUAGUAGGUGAGGUAAUGGCUCACCUAGGCGACGAUACAUAGCCGACCUGAGAGGGUGAUCGGCCACACUGGGACUGAGACACGGCCCAGACUCCUACGGGAGGCAGCAGUAGGGAAUCUUCGGCAAUGGGGGCAACCCUGACCGAGCAACGCCGCGUGAGUGAAGAAGGUUUUCGGAUCGUAAAGCUCUGUUGUAAGUCAAGAACGGGUGUGAGAGUGGAAAGUUCACACUGUGACGGUAGCUUACCAGAAAGGGACGGCUAACUACGUGC